AGGGUUUGAUCCUGGCUCAGAUUGAACGCUGGCGGAAUGCUUUACACAUGCAAGUCGAACGGCAGCACGGACUUCGGUCUGGUGGCGAGUGGCGAACGGGUGAGUAAUGUAUCGGAACGUAUCCAGUAAUGGGGGAUAACUAAUCGAAAGGUUGGCUAAUACCGCAUACGCCCUACGGGGGAAAGCAGGGGAUCUUCGGACCUUGCGUUAAUGGAGCGGCCGAUAUCUGAUUAGCUAGUUGGUGAGGUAAGAGCUCACCAAGGCGACGAUCAGUAGCUGGUCUGAGAGGACGACCAGCCACACUGGAACUGAGACACGGUCCAGACUCCUACGGGAGGCAGCAGUGGGGAAUUUUGGACAAUGGGCGCAAGCCUGAUCCAGCCAUUCCGCGUGAGUGAAGAAGGCCUUCGGGUUGUAAAGCUCUUUCGCAAGGGAAGAAACGAUGCAGACGAAUAAUCUGUGUUAAUGACGGUACCUUGAUAAGAAGCACCGGCUAACUACGUGCCAGCAGCCGCGGUAAUACGUAGGGUGCAAGCGUUAAUCGGAAUUACUGGGCGUAAAGCGUGCGCAGGCGGUUUUGUAAGUCAGAUGUGAAAUCCCGAGCUC
rnacentral:rRNA from 1 species